UUCCCUGGCCGCUCCACACAGCCCUGUUCCUCUGUCCUCUCUUCCAGCCUCAGGUUUUCCUUAGGAUUCCGUGUGUGUUCCCCGCCUGGCCCCUCCGCAGCGACUCUGCUGUCAGUGGCUGCCCCAGGGUGGAGAGUGACCUACCUCCGGCUUCUCCUGUCCCGGCUUCUCCUGUGCCAGCCGGUCAGGCACACUGACAAACUUAGCCUUCCGUUCUGUUGGUCUGUGAUGACCGUUUCCACGUCCUGCUUUCUGAGAGCAUUUGCCUGGUGUAGACGUCCCCGUUUUCAGCGGUUAUGCGUCCCUCUAGUUUCGGUGAUGCCCUGAGGUUUACUUCCUG
rnacentral:lncRNA from 10 species